rnacentral:rRNA from 1 species
CCCCAGACUCCUACGGGAGGCAGCAGUGGGGAAUAUUGCACAAUGGGGGGAACCCUGAUGCAGCGACGCCGCGUGGGUGAAGGAGUACUUCGGUACGUAAAGCCCUAUCGGCAGGGAAGAAGGAGGACGGUACCUGACUAAGAAGCCCCGGCUAACUACGUGCCAGCAGCCGCGGUAAUACGUAGGGGGCAAGCGUUAUCCGGAUUUACUGGGUGUAAAGGGGGCGCAGACGGCAGCGCAAGCCAGGAGUGAAAGCCCGGGGCCCAACCCCGGGACUGCUCUUGGAACUGCGCGGCUGGAGUGCAGGAGGGGCAGGCGGAAUUCCUGGUGUAGCGGUGAAAUGCGUAGAUAUCAGGAGGAACACCAGUGGCGAAGGCGGCCUGCUGGACGAUGACUGACGCUGAGGCUCGAAAGCGUGGGGAGCAAACAGGAUUAGAUACCCGUGUA